UACGUAGGGUGCGAGCGUUAAUCGGAAUUACUGGGCGUAAAGCGCGCGUAGGUGGUUUGUUAAGUUGAAUGUGAAAUCCCCGGGCUCAACCUGGGAACUGCAUGCAAACUGGCAAGCUAGAGUAUGGUAGAGGGUGGUGGAAUUCCUGUGUAGCGGUGAAAUGCGUAGAUAUAGGAAGGAACACCAGUGGCGAAGGCGACCACCUGGACUGAUACUGACACUGAGGUGCGAAAGCGUGGGGAGCAAACAGG
rnacentral:rRNA from 1 species